UAGGGAAUCUUCCGCAAUGGACGAAAGUCUGACGGAGCAACGCCGCGUGAGUGAUGAAGGCUUUCGGGUCGUAAAACUCUGUUGUUAGGGAAGAACAAGUGCUAGUUGAAUAAGCUGGCACCUUGACGGUACCUAACCAGAAAGCCACGGCUAACUACGUGCCAGCAGCCGCGGUAAUACGUAGGUGGCAAGCGUUAUCUGGAAUUAUUGGGCGUAAAGCGCGCGCAGGUGGUUUCUUAAGUCUGAUGUGAAAGCCCACGGCUCAACCGUGGAGGGUCAUUGGAAACUGGGAGACUUGAGUGCAGAAGAGGAAAGUGGAAUUCCAUGUGUAGCGGUGAAAUGCGUAGAGAUAUGGAGGAACACCAGUGGCGAAGGCGACUUUCUGGUCUGUAACUGACACUGAGGCGCGAAAGCGUGGGGAGCAAACA
rnacentral:rRNA from 1 species